GGAGGGGUGAGGCAGGGCCUGAAGCCAUCAGGAGCCAAGGAAACUGAAGUGUGGGAACGGCCUCCAGACGUGAGGGUGCUGCCCGGCUUCCCCAAGGACUUGCAUGAGAACUGUUGAACCUUGUGUUUUUCAAACGGAGGGGCUCCAUAUGACCAGAGAGAAAACUGCAGCAGAAAGGAGGAAGCCGGCUCUUUCCUGGAGACCACACAGGAAGUAACAGGUGGUAAAAGAAUUCAGAGAGAGAGAUGCAGAUGAUCUUUCUGUCUCAUUGCCCUUGACCACUGUUUUAUCUCCCCACUUUGGUCUUUCAUUAUUCCUUCCAUAAAUCUUUUAUUUUCAGGACUUUAUUGUAUAAUGGUCACCAGGGAAAUCAAAGGAUGAUAACUUCCAAGCCUCUUUCUCUGGAAAAGUUGACCACCCCGUGGGUUAUAGAGUCACUAAUUUCCUUGCUGAUAUCUUUUCUCUUUCCUCUCCCUUUGGCCCCUUUUAAUUAAUUAAUUUUAAUUUGUUUAAGCAGAAUCUUAUUCAUACCCCAAGCUGGCCUGGAAUUUACUAUGUAUCCCAAAUUGGCCUUGAACUAGAAGGCAAUUUUCUUUUCUCAGCCUCCCAGGUGCUGGGAUUACAGGCAUGUGCCGCCAUAUCGGUUCCUUACUAACCUGACCGAGCACUUCUGGGACCCAGGUUUUCAAUGUCUUAUAUGUGAUAAUUUAUUAUGCCUAAGUUGAUGCUCUUACCACUUUCCGUAGACGAAAAAAUGCAAGCCUGAGGUGAAAUAACUUCCCCUAAGUAUUCAGGGAGUCACCUAAAAGUUCAUUACUUAGGAAGGAUAAUUUACUCAGGCUGGAUGAAAGAGAGCCUCAGACUUACCUGACUUAGUGAAAUGUCUAUACAUAGCACUAAACUAUAUCAACAUGAAGAAUGCACAGAUAAAGGGACCUCCAAGGCACUUUAAGAGCUUUGGGUUAGAUGCUUGUAACUUUUCCCAGAGAGGGCUUCUUGAAGAAUUCUAGGACUAAGAAAACUUAAACGUGUCAAGUUUUUGUGGUAACUUAGUCCUUUGCGUUACACUAACUGGACCCAUAACUGGGCAGGUGCUUCUGCCAAACACAAGCUCCUUGGCUAUUCCACUGAAUAUCCUAAUGGUCCUAAGAAUCAAGUCACAGGCCUUGCACAUCCUAGAGAUGUACUCUACCACUGAACUACCCCCAGCCCUUCCAAUGGCCAUCCUGAUUCAACAGAUCAGAAACAGGUUUCAGACACAUUUGCAUGUGUGACAAACUCUAAAUGUAGUUCUCGAGUUCCUGACAUCACAGAAUCUCAAGUGCAUCGAUAAGCUCUAAAUUUUUUUCCAACAUGGAGGUUCUGCAAGCUAAUGUUUCCUAGUGGAUACGCCAUAAACCACUCAACCAGAAAUAGGAUCAGCCGUCUUGAUCUUUGGAAAACUAAACAGUGGAGAAUUUACAUUUUCAAGAUUGUCUUGUCUCUACCCCAAUGACUCAACUUAAAGCCAUAGCUGGUGCAUAAAUGGGUGAGCUGGUGGUGUUUCAAUAACAUUUUGUUUGCAGAGUGGGUGGUAAACCAGAUCUGGCCUGUAGAUUAUAGCUUGCUGACCUUAAACUGUAAAAACCCAGGUUACAAAAAUAAGAUUAUGAAAGCUGCAAACCAUAUGACUUCAUAAAUAUUGAUGAUAUAUUAGCAUUGUGAGGAUUCUAAGGCAUGAGAAGUAAAAAAAAAAAAGAAAAAGAGGAAAAAAAGAAAAGUAAUUGGUUUAAUUUUGAACAAACUUAAUUUCUCAAAUUUACUUAACCAUACAACUCUAUUAGGAAAUAUUAACAUUCUCUAGAACUGUAAUUACACUCUUUACAUUCCAGAGAACAUACUUUAGAAACCAUCUUUCAUGUCUUAUACGUAGGCAGUUUUUAAGAACAAUUUGUAUUUGGUGCUUCAACUUUGCCCACUGGAGGCAUGACCUCAGAUUAAAAUGAAAACACCCUUGGUAUAAAUUCCUUUGUCUAGUUUUCUCAUCAGAGGUACUACUGGCUUUGUUUUAAUGCUUUUUUGUUUUUGUUUGUUUGUUUGUGAUGAUUCUUGUUCUGUUUCUAGAGAAGGUCUCUGAUUCCUGGGCUCACAUGAUUGUUCUGCCUCAGUCUGCCAAGGGUCUUGUGUUACAGGUACAGGUAUGCAUCUGACCAGGAAUGUUUUUCAAAAUGAUGAAACAGAGGAAACUGGAUUAUUUUGAAAGGGACAAAAGACGUAUGAAAAGGAAAACUAGAAAAUGGGCUAAACAAUAAUAGACUUAUUAAGCACUUGCUGUGCUCACUGCCAUAGUAAAAGCUUUGAUCUAGAUUUGCAGUUCCCAACUAGAAGAGUUUUACUACCUGAGGGACAUUCAUCAAGGAGUCAUUUCAAAUUGCUGUGACUGGGCAUGGCACAGAGCAUGAAGACCUAGUGGCAGAAGCCAGCGAUGCUGCUGGUACCUACAGGACAGUGUCAACUGUCCCUAGUGCCAGUGACAAGAAGUUUCUCUGAUUUCUGCCAUGCUGUGAAGCUGUAAGGUGAAACAUAUUUGUACGUUUGAGACAUUUAAAUGGCAAAACAGAAACAGGUGGGCAGCCAGACUUAAUCCUGUUGCCUUAAGGCAUCUCAUAGAGAGUAACAGUGUGAGCAUAAUUCGUAAGAAUGCAAGUGCAAAGGCAAACGACCUCAGUGGCUGUGCACUGCCUAGGACUCCAUAAGUUCCUGCCUUGUUCUUUCACAUUACUCCUCCCUCCUGCCACUUCCUCUCUUUGCUCUUCACCCCCAUUUUUUCUACUGCUGAUGCAUCAGGCAACUGUCCUAGAAUGCUGACCAGCACACAGUGUGUCUACAAUGACCACUGAAACACUCCUUAUUAGAACCCUGCAUUCCAUCUGAUGACAGCCCGACCACUUACAGUGAAUUACCUUUGUGACAUUAGGCCAGUGAUUUUAAUCUACAGGUCUUGGUUUCACCUUCUGGAAUGGGAACAAUGCUUAAUUCAGUCAGCUCCACUCAGACAUAAGCCUUAGGCUCAAUACUGUGCCUGGAGAGUUGGGGAGAUCCCAGGAAUGCAAAACCUCCCAGGGAUACUAUGUCCCUGGUGACAGGAUCUUGUGGGAGGAGACUUUUUUUUUAUAGGCCAGCCCAGCUCCAGUUUCUCCAGCAGCUAGAAGAAUGCUGCAGAGUGUGGGCUUAAGGGGGUCUGGACAGCAUCACCAAAUGACAGUCAUUAGCUCUGAUGCAUGGCCAGGGGAUAAAACGAGCCAAAAGUACAGGAAUGGCAGCACAUUAGGAAGUGAAAAGGUCCUAGAUUCACCUCCGGGAAGACACUGAGGAAGACUAUGAUCAAGAUGCCUUAGAGGUAUCAUCAGGGCCUUGGCUCUCAGAACAACUAGUCACUCUCCUGUCUGUUAAUGAGGAAACGUGAAGCCCUCAUGCUUCAUUUUUAUCAUGUCUAAGUUGAGCGAUCCAUUUGAGACAGUUUGUGAAUAAAAAGGCUGUUUCUGGAAACACGAUGCCUCAUGGAUUCUCACAAAACUCUGAAAGCAGUACUCAGAAAAUAAAAGCAACAGAAUAGCAGGAGUCUUUCAAAUGGCACUUCCUGGCUGCAGCGUCUGGGGUAUGGCUGGGAGUCUUGAAGCUCCCAGCCACAAGAGGUUAGGCGGUCCUCUCUGCCUUUCAUCUUUUGCUCCUUUUGGUGACAUCAGCUCCUUUGUUCUCUUUCCAUCUAUACCGCUCUGGCAGUUCAAUUAUUUCACAGAGAGAGGAGAGAUGCUCCAGGAAUUGGAAAUGACAAAAGAGAAGCUACAAUCAUGGUGAAACUUUCUUUUCAGAAUCUCCGAGUCUCUCGGAAAUGAGCAAUUGCUGAGUACUGCGCGCUUGCUACUCACAAACACCAGGAACUGAAGAGUAAAGAAAAAAUCAUGGAAGAAAGACUCUGAAGUCACUGGUUCCUAUUCCUAACAUUAACAAAGGAACAAGAAAUAGUGCGAUGUGAGUGUGGGUAAAAGCUGGAAGACACUAGGUAGGGUGCUAAGUAGGGAACUUUAGGCACAUCCCCAGGGAGAUGCAUAGUGAUUGCCCAACUCAUGAAUGGCUGAACCACAUGAGUUCGUUCAGUUAUUUCAUAGCGAGAGCUAUGUCCCAUGUGAUGGAUAUUUGUGGCAAGUCCUAAGUUAUUUGUGCCAGAUUCUCCCUUUGCUUUCUACUGUGUUUCCAGAAGGAGAAUAGAGUGAAAAGGCAUACUUGGAAUAGAGAGAAAACCUGAUGUUCUUGGCUCCACCCGUGAUUAACUGGAUGCUUGUGGACCCAUGGUCUCACCUCUCUAGGAUUUAGUUGUCUUAAUCUUCCAGUGAGGAGAUUUUAUUUAUCUUACAGGCUUCUUGGGAGAAAUGAAGGAAAUGGUGCAUGCGAGGUAUUUAGAUUAUAUCGGGCACUUAAAAGUAGCAACUUUGUUCUCCAGUCAAAUGAAAAUGAAAUUAUUUCGAUACCCCAGUAAACUAUGUUUACUGGAGAUACCUGAACUGGGGAAAUGGUUCAUGAUUAAGGCACUUCCUGUAUGAGUAGAAAGCGCAUCGGAGGGAAAGGGAAUAACACUCGAAAUGUAUAUAAGAAAUACUCAAGUUAAUAAAAAAUAAAAAAAAAAAAGAAAGCGCAUCGGGCAGUCUCCACAGAACAUAUCUACUUGUGGGAUAGAUGUGGUGGCCUGUUUACAAUCCAGCCUCUAAAGGCAAAGACAAGAUUCCUAGAGUAAGAUGUCUAGCAAGACUAACCUUUCAGCUAGCUGUGGGUUUGACCUAGAAACCUGCCUGUAAUAGAAUACUGUGUUUAAGUUCAUGACCAAGGCAGGUUACAGACGGAAGAGUUUGAGUUUGUGGUUUUAGAGGAAUAAGAGCUCAUGAUGGUGGGACACAGGCAUGGCAGCAAGUUUAGAGGCUGAGAGCUCACCUCUUGAACCCCCAGCACAAAAUAGAGAACGAAGACUGAAAAUGCCAUGGAGUUUUUAAACUCCCAAAGCUCUUUCCAAAGAGUCACCAAACGAGGACCAAGUAUUCAAAUAUUUGAGCCUAUGGGGGACAUUCUCAUUCAAAUCACCACUACAUUAAUAAAUAAGAUGAGAGAGAAAUUAAAUAAGAAUCAUAUAUCGCUCUGGUUUUUCACGAGUACAGACCCAAGAAGGAGAAACAGAAAGAUACAUGACUUGCCUCCUAAAGACAGUGAGCUUAUCUUUGGUGGACCUGGUCAUCAGUGGGAAACCAGAUUGAUCAUCGUUUUCACUUGCUGCUUGACUCAGGUGGGUGUUCAAAGUAGGAAGUCACAGUGCAAAGCAAGCAGCUGGAGUGAGCAGUGCACUUACAGGAAUCCAGAUUUGAUUGCAGAUGAAUGACUUUUAAGAAAUUCUUGUAAACACAGGGUUAAUCUCCCAUAGGAGCACAGUCUGAUCUGGUUCAUGUUAUCAUUUCUGGGUUUCCUAAAACCAGUGACUCAAAACCAGGCUGCCCUUUUAGCCUGGGAACUCUGUAAAGCGGAAACUGGUGGGGGAAAGAGGUCCUUUGUGAUUCGUCUCCAAAUGAAUCACUAGCGAUUAGAGCCAAAUUCAAUUUUGGAUUCAUUCAGCUAAGUUACCUUGAACAGUGGAAGGACCCUGCCUUUCCCUUUUCCUCUCUUUGUUCCCCUCCCAGCCAGGGCUCCCUCCCUCCACAACACCCUUCACCUUUCACACAAAGACCUUCAGAAUUCUGAAAUUUCAGUGGCUCCCCCGGGACAAUGCAGGUGGACGCCCACUCCAGCACUACCCGCUACUCUUUCCUCACAGGUGCUUGUUGACUAAGUUUCCCCUCUGCACAGCUGUGAUACUCUGUUUUUCCUCUCUUUCAGUAACCUCCAUGAGUCAGGUACUCACCAUUGUCGAGGAGAGUUAGCAAACACUUGGGGACUAGUUAGUCCUCAUUGGUUAGUCCUCAUUAGUCAUUGAGAGUUGCUGGUUAACAGUGUUAAGGGCAUGGAAAGCCCUGCACAUCACCAAGCAGGCAUUCCUAAUGCCUAGAAAACCUAGGCAGAAGAUGUAACCAACAGAGGUAUCUGACAAUUACCUGAGGACAGGCUCCUCUGGGACUCUAUGUGACCUCUUGGGGAUGUGCUGGGCAAUUCUUUCCUAUCUUCCUGCUUUCCUUUUGUCCUAAGACAAGACACUUAGUGCUUUGAGAAUGGCAAGGGUAAUUCUGAGGCAGGCUUCUAUGGUUUGUUCUCUAUUCCAAUUCAGUCAACUGUCCCUGAAUAUGGGACAGUUCUGAGACCUACGGGGCUUAUUUUGGCCCCAUCCUUGCCCUCUGAGAACUGCCAUCCAUGGGGGAAUGGAUUUGAGGAUAUCUGCAUUAAAUCAUAUCUGCCUUCUUCAAUGCUGGCUGGCUGAUUGCACCCUACCUUCGCAUGCUUUGCCGUAAAAUCAAUAGACAGACUAGCAUUUUCCCACCAGUUUUCUUCAGCUAUCCCCUCUUUAUUAAGUAUAGUUUAAUCCUAACCAGUAUGCACUGGGAAAUUAUAGGUAGCUGCAUGUCUGCACUAUUAUAUGUACACAUUAAAAGAUAUAUACAGUAAAACACAUACAAAUAAAUAUAAAGACCUAUUCAUCUGUGUACCUUAUACCUAGAAUACUUCCAUCUCCCCCAUGGUGUGUGUUGCCCAUAGGAGAACUUGGUCAUACUGUGUGCCUUGUGAAGUUAUGUGUUAGAUGUCUUACAGAGGCUGAGGCAGUAGGUCCAGGGAGGAGGGAGAGGAGAAGAGGUGUAGCAGACUUCCCUAAGAGCCUUAAACUGAGAGUCACAACAUGAACAGGAGAUUGCUAGAGAUUCCCAGUUGGAAAGUUGCUCCAAAUGAAAGGAACACAGACUUUUAGCUUUAAAAUACUAGAGGAGGGAGUAUGGACGGUAUAUUUAAGCAGUCAACAUUUUUUGAGUGCUUAGUUUAAAGUCACAUGUCUAUCAGUUUUCUCUGUGAGGCUGAGAUCAUGUACUAGGAAAUUCGAUAAGUCCCUGUCACGUAGUUUACACUUUGGUUAAAUAGUCACCACACACACACACACACACACACACACACACACACACACACACACACACACACGGAUACAGUGCUCACUAUUUGUGGGCUCAUAGCCUUAGAUUCAGCCAAUCAAAAAAGAAAGUUACAUCUGUACUGAACACAAGGGGACUUUGUUAUUAUUGGGUUGUCAUUUCUUCUAACUGAAACAGUGUAACUCUGUCCGUUUAUAUUAUACUGGGUAUGAGAAGUAAUCUGGAGAUGUUGGAAGUGGACGGGUAGAUGUGCACAGGUUAUAAGCUUGAGUAUCUGCAAACUGUCAUAUCCGUGGGGGUUGCGAGAGUAAAUUCCCUGCAGACACAGAAGGAAAAGUGUACAGGCAUCAGAGAUAAGCAAUUCAAAGAGAGGCCACACUUAAGGACCAGAAUAGCACUACUGAUAAGAGUUAGUGUGAGCUCAGACGGGGAGCUCCCAUAGAAGCCCCAGACUGUGAAAGGCAUCCUGGAAGCUGGAGACCAUGAGGAGUGGGGUGGAAUUUGGAGAGCAGAGUAAACAAUACUUCAGGCUGGAGGAACGGAUGAGAAGAAACAGAGGACAGACAGCAGAACUGAGAUGACAGAACUAUAGACCCUGCCUCCAUCCCUCACAGCCAGUCAGAUGCAGAUGGUGGGAACAGUUUCUAUCCUAAGCACUUAACCCUGGGUUCUGGCUUGCUGUUAGGGUAUCUGUGAAUUUUGUGAAUUCUUAUGUUCAUUGUGGGAGGGGGACAGUGAGCCUCUCUACUUUUUUGUCAUGGCCUCCAAAAUUCUCAAGAGUUUUUCGGUGUCUUUGGUUUCAUUAUCCCAGCCUCCUAUUUUGUUUCUUUCGAUAUCUGAUUUCUUUUUCUUUCCUUUCAUUACAAAAAGAAUUCAAUUUUCACAAUCUGGAAAGAAAACAAAAUUUCUCAGAAUGAUUAGAUUAACUUGCCCAAGGAUGCUCGGUAAAAUCAGGCCUCUGAGGUCAAGGUUUAACGCCCACCCGAGCUCUUUGCCAAACUCUGUGCUUCCUCACAUGGUUUCCAUGUCCUCCUUGGCUCAGAGUGUUGUGUCCCCCACCAGGACUUUAUCAUCUCAGUUCAGUAAAACACUAGUUGGGUAUUUCUCCCGGUCACUGACCAUGACUUGUAUGCACAUUUUUUCCCUUUGACACUUGGCCCCGUUACCCGUGUGCUGUCCUCAAGAGUCACUGGAACUUGUGGAAAGUGAGAUGGCUUUCCAGGCCUUCAGUGCAACCCUUGCUUAUAGCAGAGUAUUUCCUUGCACUAGUAAGGUAUAAAGCGAUGUUCAAAAGCAGCACCACCCUUUAAAAACUGAGCCUACUGGCGAGUCCUCUGCUGCUUCACAAUUAUUUACCGACCACCUUUCCUUCUUUCUUCAUUGUGCAACGGCAUGAUGAAGACGAUAAGCAAAGCUUAUCUCCUCCCCUCCUCCUGUCAUUGAACAACUCAUGGCUAGCCUGGCUUCCUCUUAGCCCCUUUCUUCCACAGCCCCUACUCAGAUUGUUUUGUAACCAAUGGUAUACAUCAUACAAUUUUGCCUUUAAACAUUUCAGCAUUGUUCAGGGUUUUAAAUAGGCUUUGAUAUAUAUAAAUAGCCCGGGGCACUUGCCAGGUCACAGAAAAGUUUGAUGUUCUAGAAUACCACAUGGGGCAGUUGGAUCGGAGCAGCCCGGAGGUUUUCCUCUGAAACAUGUCUUUGUUCCGUUGCGUUCGUUAAAGUCUCUUGGAUUGUGUGAACUACCGUUUGAGUCAGCUCUGUGGAAUUAACUGUACAAGCUCAGUUCUGUUAUCCAGCUUGUUCUGUAAGUAAGUCCGUGUGGGCUCCAGCACUGACAGCAUGGUAAGGAAUCCUUUGAACAUAAACUGAAUUUCACGUUCACUUACUCACAAUUUCACCCCUGAGAGGCUCAGAUGGACGCAGAAAGUAGUGCCCAAAGACUUGAACUUCGUGGGAACAUGCCCAACACACACUGGGACACCCACCAUCCAUCUCAGCUCCACAGGUAGAGUAGACCACACCCACACACAUCUGUACUACAGCUAGGGUUUGGAGAAGCCCCUUCCACCACUUUCCAGUAACUAACAGGCAGCUCCUUGCCCACACUCACGUCCACAGGCAAAUGCCAGGUCAUUUGCAGAGCUGACUACAGUGUGUGUUAAUGUACUCACAUAUCUACAAAACAUUUAACGUGAGCUACAUUGUACUAGUAUUUAAUCAGAUUUUUAUCAUCUUGCUUUCCUUUCUGUAAUGUAACUCUAACACAUUUUUGAGUGUUGUUCAUAAAUCCUGGGUUUCUCAGCCUUAGCCCUACUGAGUUGCCGGCGGGGUAAAUCUUUGCUAGGGAUCAGUGGAGAGCCUGUGUAUCACAGGACAUUUAGUAGCAGUCUGUCUUGGCCUUUAUCCACCACGAAUGCUAAAUUCUGAUCUCCCCUACCACACCUUAGCAACCAAAAAAAAUUAUUAUAGAUAUUGUAAAUAUCCCCUAGGAAUAUGGGUAAAAACCACAGAUUUUUCUGAGUACCUGGAAAUGGUUGCCUUAAUUCUGAUUCCUAUAAUCUUUGUGGUGUUUAUCACAUUGCUCUGCAUAGUAUGAUGAGUUUUAGGACUAUGUGUGCACUGUAGAAGAGCUGAUUCAAAGCUUUGCACAAGUAUCUUUGCAUAGGUCCUCAAGCUAACACAACUUAUGGCUUGCUAUAGUAGUCAUCUACAAGCUGUACAUCAAGCUUGAAAUGCAGACUCUCAACUUAAGAUCAUUGAUUGAUCCUUAUUUUCAAAGUCUGUAGACCUUGAACCAUACCAAUGUUGGCAUUUAGACUAGGCUGUGCCUCACAGUUACCUGACAACAGCCAGGUACGCCUGACUCACUAUAAAAGGGGCUGCUUGCCCCUCCCUCUCUUGCUCUCUUGUUCUUGCUCUGUCCUCUCCACUACUGAUCUCCCUCCCCCUCCCGCUCACUCUCUAUGUGCUCGUGGCUCCUCUCUCUCUCUCUCUCUCUCUCUCUCUCUCUCUCUCUCUCUCUGCUUUUCUCUCAACUCCCCUCCCCAUGCCCUGAAUAAACUUUAUACUAUACUGUCUUAUGGCUGGUCCCUCAGUUGGGGGAAGGGAUGCCUCACCAUAGGCCUCAUACGCAUCCCCUUCCCCCACACCUUACCUCACCUCCACCAAACAUAUUCCUUCUCUAUUUUUAUAAAACAAACACCAAGUUUCUGACAGCAAUAGCUUCCUACCAUUUACUGAGACAACUCACUAUGCUCUACCCCUCACAACCUAUGUCACAUUUAACCCUCCCAAGAGCUGCUUCUGGGAGUCAUUGUCCAUCACUCCUAAUCCCCAGGUCUUUAAUAGACAAAAACUCUAAGGAAGAAUACGAGACCCUGAAAAUGGAGCUAUCUGCUUGAUGUCCACCCUCGACCUAAAAAAAACAGAGGCAUCAAGCCAGGGUCCUAAACUAUCUUUUCUGUCCUAGGAACCUCUUCCCUUAAGGAUACAAGCAGCUACUUCUUAAGUACCUGUGAACAUUUCCAAGGUAGCACAUAUUCAGAAGAGUCAGAAGUUCUUACCCAAAGCAGCUAAGUGAGACAAAAAUCAUCUCAUAGGGUUAUAUAGAAACUGUAUGCUACUGCUACAAAUAAGACAACAGUAAGGGGACGAAUUAUAUAGAAAUGUGCUCAUAUGUUAAGGGUUUUUUAUGUUUAUUAUUAUUGUAUCUGUGUGUGCUGACCGUGUCAGUGAGGUUGUAUGCAUAUCACAGCAUUCACAUGGAGGUCAGAGGGCAACUGUCAAGGGCUGGCUCUCUUUCCACAUCCAGGUAACCAGGUUCGCAUGGCAAGAACUUUAAGACAUUGAGCCAGCUUGCCGCUAUUAUUAUUAUUAUUAUUAUUAUUAUUAUUAUUAUUAUUACAAACAAACCCAACAAAAAACAAACCAAACCGACAACAGAAACCUUGUUUGUUGACAUAGGAUUACACACGUCCCAGGUUGGACUUGAACUUACCAUGUGUGACAUCACCAGGUGUUCUCAUGCUUCCUUCAUCCAUCGGCACACGUACCUGCCUCCACAUUAAAAAAGAAACACACACACACACACACACACACACACACACACACAAAGGCUAUCUCAAAUGAAGAAGCAAGAAGAACAGGUUUUUAAAACAACUUUAUUUGAUCUAACUAUAGCUUUUGUAUAAGUCCAGCCAUCAUACAUUACAUAUAUGUUGGUGGAUUUUUUUUGGUUAAGAAGCAUUUUAGAGAGGAGGUUUAUAGACAAAAAAUUUGCACAAGAGAUAAUAGCAGAGGAACUGGAUACUUAAUGAGUUCAAGUUGGAUUAAAUUCUAGAAUACAGAAAAGACUUGCAGAUGUGAUUACAAAACCACUGUCAGUGUGCUUAAAGAAAUCAGAGACUGGGAUGGAAGCCAGGCUAUUGGAGACAAGAAUAUGCUACUCCAGUUUUCAAAAAUGAGAAAAAUGUGGAUUCUAAAGACUAGGGGGAGAUGAUCGUAGGAUACGGCAUCCAAUUACCCACUCGUAUUUUAGGAGACUGUAGGAAGGGGGUUUGGCAGGGAUGGCCAGGAGCCUGCAGGGCUCCAGUCGCUCCUCUGCCCUAAGCUGCUUCCUCUUUCAGUGGUUUACUUUUGAUAGAUCAAUAAAAUAUUCCAGACAGUAUGCACUUUUAUUUUAGCAAGCUCAUUUGAUACACAGAUGUGUGUUUUUUCCUUAUGAGAGCAAGGCUGAAAUGGUGACUCAGUGAAGGGAUCCACAGCUCACUGAACAAUGAAGAAUCACUCAAAGGCUCCAAACUGCCUCUCCUGGUCACUCUUCUAUGCUAAAUACCUGGGACACACAACCCAAACAGAUGUCCACCCACUCCGGUUAGUCUUACCUCCAAAAGGAGAGCUCUGUGGGCUUCCGGAGGAAGAGUCAUAUUCUUGAAGACACACAGCAUCUCAGUGGCUGAGUUGGGGUUUGUCUAUUUGACCCCCUGGGCUCUCUAUUGCCUUCUUAAUAAACAAUGGGAUUGAAUUGAAAAUUUUAAUUAAGGCUGUGGUUUUCCGUCCCAGGCAGUAUGUGGAUAAAGUCUCCUCAGAAUUAGCCACCCUGUGCUGGGCUCCAAUUCCUCUCCUUUGCUUGGAAAUGGGCGGACUUUACAACUGGUGUAGCUGGGUCAGACUCCCUGAGGAACCCCAAUCCUUUCUUUCCAAAAACAGCAUCUCUAAGACCAGUGUGAGGUUCAUGUUUUGCCCGAAUGAGAAAGAUUAAUCCCAUUUAUUUUACUAACAGAUCUUUGGGGAUAAAAAUUCUCCCGGCUCUAAAAAUAAAGGACUUCUGUCUGUCUUAAGCAUCCUCCCAUAGCACUUUGUUUUGGAAGUAAAGAAAAGAGGGGAAAGUUGAAAAAGGAAGAGCAGAGGGGUAAUAAAGAGACAGGGGGAGGAAAAUUUUAAGACAGGAAAGGGGGGAAAGGAAGAGACACACAAAGUGAGGAAUGAGCUGAGGAAGCCUCUCCCUUGUGUGGUGUAACCAAAUUCCUUCUCAAGUCAGCAGGGCAGAAUUAAAUGGUUGCCGUCCCCCAGCUGUUUGGUCUGAGAUGCUGUGUAAACAAGCCCGCCCCUCAUCUGGCCCCCAGGAGGCUGGAACCUCGGGAGGGAAUCCUGCUCUGCCAAAACCACCAUGAACUCUGCAGUGGGGUCCCUCGCCUGCUUAGUCAGCAGGAGCCGCCAGAGGAAUUCAACUGUUUCCAAUUUUGUUUCUUCUCCAUGUCAAGAGCAGAGUGCUCAGGUGAGGGUGACGUCCUGGGACAAUCAAGGUCAGCUCCGGCUUGGAAAUCAAUCGGGACGAGGUUCUUAGAUCCUUCCUGACAUUGUAGAGUCCAAGUUUGUGGCAAGAUUAUUCCACACUGGUGUCGUCCAACGCGCACAGGGAGGAUUUGACUGGGCAGAAGCCCGAGGCUUUGUGUUCUACAGUGCCUUCUGUGAUUUUCUUUUCUUUCACAAGAGAAUCCUGGCAUAUUUGUAUCAGUGGAACUUUCUGUGGUCAUUAGCAUAUUUGACAUACUUUUGAGCAAUAUACAUUUUUUGUCAGGAGAAGGUACCUGCCAUCUAUUGGUUACAGAAACACAAAUGUGUCCUUACAAUUAACAUGUUAUCUCUAGAAGGUAGGUUUGAAGGUUUUAUUUUUCUUUAGCUAGGCUUUUAUAUAUAAUAUGUACAGAGAAUUUCCUGUGCAUGAAGGGCCACAUGGACCACCCAAAGGCAUCCUUUCAAAAGACCCAUGAAUUAGCUAUUGCUCUUAUUUGAUGACGCGGCCUUAUAAAAUCACUGGCCUAGGCUUACGUCCCCAAAACAAUGACCGAAGUCAGACUUCAAACCCACACUAGAGUCCAUGCUCUAAGCACCUGGGAUAAUACUUUUUCCACAAUUAAUUAAUUAAUUAAUUAGAAAAACAAGAGAAUUAAACAUAAAAGUAGUCUGACAACUUUGUUAUUGUAUUUUGCUUUUUGUUGCCAUUGUUUUGCUUUGUUGCUUUUGUUUUGUUUUGUUUCGAUAUGGAGUUUCUCAGUGCAACCAACCCUGGCUGUCCUGGACUCACUUUGUAGACCAGGCUGGCCUUGAACUCACAGAGAUCCACCUGCCUUUGCCUUCUGAGUGCUGGGAUUAAAGGGUUAUGCCACCCCCAUGCCCAGCUCUGACAACUUUUUAAAUCUGUUUCCAAACCAAAUGCAGGUACUUGAAGUGAACUGGCAAGCAAUCUCCCACUAACACGUAAGAUGUUUCUAGAGCUUAAUUAUGUGGCUAGGCUGGUCUCAAAGAUCAUUCGUGAGCAUGCGUGCAUGCACGAGUGUGUGGGUGUGUGCUUUCUUUAUCCCCCAAAACACAAAACCUUAGGUCUGAUAUGCUAACGGUUACUCUUUUAAUGACAGGAGGGGAUAAUUUUAGACUCUUCUUCUGACGCAUGGUAUUUUCAAAUUCUCUGUCAUGGCAAGUACAACUUUGGUAGGAGGCAGAGGCAAAGGACGGGGGUUACUUUACCCUGCUUUUUAGCUUCUUAGGGUGCCACCCCAGUACAGUUUCCUAAGGUGCUUCUCGAACAAUUGCUUAUCUUCUCCUUCUUUCUCUCCUGGGACGACCUAAGGCCGCAUGAAUUUGAGCUUCCUUUAGGGAAAACCUAUGUUGGUGCCUCCAGGCAAGGGACACAAUCCAGGACCUCCACAGAGUUGGCAAAAUACCAAGAGAUAAGGCUGACUUAAAAGUUUUACUUCUCUGGCCUGUCUACACUUUGGCAGCUCAGAGGCCAAAGACUGCUUAUCGGGUGGGGCUCAUUAGUGGUAAAGUCCCUUGACUCCUGGGGACUUCGGCUGAUCAUUAAAAACUCAUGUUAAGGUUCCCAAAAAGACCUCCAUGAAGGCAACUUCAUAAUUUUUCUUGCUCCCAAAGGAGAGGGGUUGUACCACAGAGGGACUAAAGAAGAACAGGCUUCCUGCCCUCAUGCAUGCUAUGCUCUUGUUUUAUAAUGCAGUGAUGAUACAUUCAGUGAAUGCCUGCUGGAGUCAAGAGAAUGUUCUAGUUGAUGGGAAGGUUCUAUGGUUUGAAUCUGAAAUGUCCCCAUCAGGUUAAACUUACCAAGUGUGGGAGAAAUCCUCCAGGUGCUUUUCAAAACAGGUCUUUGUGGACAUUUUAACGCCCAGCCAUCUAGCAGCUAGAAUUAAAGGUACGAUUCUCAGUAUAUGAUAUUCUGAAAAAGGCAGCAUAUAAGAGAGAGCAAAGUUACAAAGGUUGAAAUGAAUGGAGGUCAAAGUUUACUACAAAUAAGCAGAAGGGAAACUUGGAAACGACAGCCUGUCCCUCGUUUGAUCGCUGUGUCAUCACACAAUGGUACACAGUGGCCCAAACUUGUAGGACUAUAUUCUCCAUCACCAUGUUUGGGGGUGAAGAAAAAAGCAAACGAGAUGUACCACACAAAGCAUCUUAGGCGCAGUGCCUGUGGACAUUUUACAAUUAGAAAACGGGAAUCGGUGGUAAAAAUCCUCUCCAAUACUUUUCCUGGCAUCUCAAAGGCCGAUACACAAGAACUGCUCACAUCAAUACCAAGAGUCGGCCCCACCCACUCAAUCACAUAACCAAUCUCUCUUGCCCCUUUUCCAGCCACACUUACUUUUACUUACUUCUGCCUCUUGGUGUUAAGUCCAUAACAAAACAACAUCAAAGGUUGCUUUGAAAGGACUUAGAAAGAAGACAUGAGGUAUGUCUCUGUAGUAGGCUUGUCAAUAGAAAUGGGGGCUAAUACACGUCCUCGCCUGGUAGCACGUUCUUCCCCAAACUUCUUUCCCCGCUCAUUUGAGCUAAACCAAAACUGUAAACUAGACUAGAGUGGGCUGACAAGAGGCCUUGAGGAUGUAUGUGAACAUGCUGACCCACCUCCAAACUGCAAAAGGAAACACAAAACCCACAGAGAUGAAUCCAGUCAUCCAAAAAGAUGGAGGAACGUGCUAUGGAAGGACUUUGCUUAGUAGCAAUGACAGAAAUCUGGACAUUGGAAUGUAGCUUAGUUCAUGGAGGGCUCACCUAGCACAAGGGUCACUCUACAUUUGACCCCCAGCACUACAUCAAUUAGGAGUGGUGGGAGUCCCUGUAAUCCCUGCACCGAGAGGACAGUGUCAAGUCCAGAGGCAUCGUUAGUUAAGUAUUGAGUUCAAGGCUAUGCAGAGAGAUAUGAAAGCCUGUCUCAUAACAAAAACAAAAGAUACUGAGAUCAUCCCAUAUGGAAAGCUACUAAAUUUUAAGGUCUUUUUGUUAAAGCAAUAUAAUUCUUAAUCCUGUAUUUUAUCGCUAAAUUUACAACAACCUUAAGGGUACUUGACCCGGAAUAAAGGACUAAAAUUCUUUUUAAUUAAUUAUUUUAUUUAUUUACAUCCCAAAUGUUGCUCCCUCCUGAUGCCCCCUUACAGAGUUCUUCCAUGCAUCCCCUCAUUUGCCUCUGAGACUGUGUCCCUGACCCUGGGCAUCCCCUUUCCUUGGGGUAUCAAGUCUCUACUGGAUUAGGUGCAUCCUCUCCCACUGAGGCAGACAAGGCAGUCCUCUACUACACAUGAGCCCAGGCCUCGAACAAGUUCAUGUAUGCUCUUUGGUUGGCAGCUUAAUCUCUGGGAGUUCCCAGGGGUUCAGGUUAGUUGACACUGCUGGUCUUCCUAUGGGGUUGCUAUCCCCAUCAGUUAAAGAACUAAAAUGAACUCUCUUGGGUAGACAAAUUCUAGGAAAAUGUUGCACUCAGUUUUGUAAUUACAUGAUCUUGAGUGGGAGGAAAGAUAGAAAGUUUUACUAACUUAAAAGCAGGAGAUAAGACAAGAGCUGUUGACUGGAAAGUUGCUGGGUUUUGGACAUACAGAGCAUGUGGGAGCUAGAGAGGUAGAGGCUGAUCUUGCCAUGGAGAGACUUUGUAGGACUAGACAAGCCUGAAAGGACUUCUACAGUAUUUGAGAAAAAUCUAAUAGGUAAGAAGGGGAUAGGAACUGCACUGGGUUGGGAGGGGUUUCUGAUGGAUCCUAUUUGCUUGAUAGUUACACUUCAGUAUUUUUAUUUACUGAGGGUGGAGCCUGUGUGUGAAUAUCUGGAGGCUCAGAAAUUGUGUCUAUUAUGUUUCAUCUUACUCUUUGAGAAAGGGUCUCUCAGUGAAUCUGGAGCUCACAAAUUGGCUUAGCCGGGAGCCGCUCCCCCCACACCAUGCAAGGGAAUGAUAGACGCUUAGCUUUUUAGGUAAGUUCUGCGGAUCCCAAAUCAGGUCACCAUACUCUCACAUGCUAAGCACUUUAUCGCUAGUCUUGAAGGUAGAUCUUAAAAGAGCUUUGCCAAGAAUUUGGUAAGAGGUAGAUGACCACUUUGUCUCCCUUCUCAGAGCUGAAGCAUGUAAACUGUGUGCACGUGAGCAUGUGAGUGUGUGUGUGUGUGUGUGUGCAUGUGAGAGACUGUGUGUGUGUUUAUGCAUGUGUAUGUGCACUUGUAUGCUUAGGGGUGCAUUUGGAGGCUAAGUAUUCCUUCAUAUGUCUUCCCUCAAAAGCCAUCCACCUUCACUUUCUAUAUUUUUGAGUCAAGGUCUCUCACUGUCCUGGAACUCACCAUGAAGGUUAGGAUGACUGAACGGUGAAUUGCAUGGAUCUGUCUACCUGCUUCUGCCUGCACUAGUCAUGGUAUUACUGGCACAGGCUUCUCUACCAAGCUUUUUCAUGUUGCUUCAGGUAUGUGUGCAUGGUGGCAGGGGCUGGGGGUUGUCACGCUCAAGUUCUCAUGCUUACAAAGCACUUUUCUGACCGAGCUAUUUCUAAACUCCUUUUCAGACAAAGUCCAACUAGAGGAGGCAGCCACAGAGUGCUGAGCUGGAGCCCAGGCAACAUGGUCUUCUCUGAGAUUGGAAGAGUAUGGUUUCUAAUAGCUGCUGGCAACCACAUUUCUCCACUUAUUCCUCCUCUCUCCUUGACCUCAGGGUAGCCUAUGAUCAACAGGGAUGGCUUAGGGAAUGAAAUCACUACAGAAAAUCAGGUCAUGAGGUGGAUCUAAAAAUACAUUGUUCCUCUGAGAUGAAUUUAAUAACUUAAACACACACACACACAUACACACACACACACACACACACACACACACACACACACACACACCUUGUUUCUUUCCCUGCAAACCAUUGGCUCCAAAUAAGGAAUGGAAUUGUACGUCACUGUACGAAAACUCACACCCAUCGCCCCCACCCCCAGUCCACCACUCUUUUGUUCUCUCUCAAACUCUCUUCCAUUCCUAUUGUCUCAUCUCAUCAUUACAUGAUGUGAUAUAGCAUUGUGUGAGACAAGCCCUGCUCAGGUUAAAUUUUAGUCAUGUGAGAAGCCCCAGCCAGUACUGUCUAUAAGGCUGUGUGAUUAGUUACAAAGCAGUUAGCUGGAGAAAGGAAGUGUCAGCAUUCAGAUGCACAAAAAAUUCAGAUGCAUGAAAAGAGUCAGAAUCUGCCAAACAAAAUGCUUUCCUUAGAGCCGAGUCAAUAUUCUCUCAGGGACAGACCUGAGGAACCAGGCAGCUGCAUCUGUUUAGAGUUUCCCAUGUAUCUCUCACCUCUUCCUUCAUCAGCCAGCUCUAACCCAAAAGCUGAAGCUCUCUUCACCCAGCCUCCCUCUUCUCAGCAUGGGACACAAGUAGGGAAAGAGAGAGAGCCAGCUGUCACUGAACAGUUAUAUCAUCUGCCCUUUCCUUAUCUUUCCCUCCUUUGCACACAUUCAGAUGCUCUUUCCUGUUUAUCUGUCUGCAAGAAGUUCGAGUUGUCCUUACCAUCCUCAUGCUCCACUUACUGAAUACCUACUACAUCUGAAGCACCAUGUUUGUAGGUAUAAAUAUAUGUAUGUGUGUGUAUGGAGUAACUGCUGUAGGUAAAACACAGCAAAGUUAAUGGAAUAGUAAGGCUCAUUUGACCUGAUGCUACAACUGAGGAUGAGCAUUGCCAAAAGCCGCACAGCUUCAGUGGCGUUUCUAGGAAUUUAAACUUGUCUCCUCCAAAAGAAGCUUUAGGCUAUACUGAUAAUCCUUUAGAAAAUCAAGUGUGUUUGAAUAGUUUUGUCACCCUUCCUUCCUUCCCUCCUUCCUUCCUUCUUUCCUUCCUUUCUUCCUUUCUUUUCCUUUCUUUCUCUCUCCCUUCCUUCCUCCCUCCCUCCCUCCCUCCCUCCCUCUCUCUCUCUCUUUCUUUCUUUCCUUUCUAUUUACUUUACAUCCCUCUCACUUCCUCCUAGGCAUCUCCUCCCAUAAUCCAUCCCCUGUUCUCCCUUCCCUUCUCCUAUGAGAGGGUGGAGGACCCCCUUGGGUCCCUGCCCCCCCAAGGCACAGUCCAGCUAGAAGAACGUAUCCUAUGCACAGGUAACAGCUUUUGGGACAGUUCCCACUCCAGUUGUUCGGGACCCACGUGAAGACCAAGUUGCACAUCUGCUACAUAUGUUGGCACCCUUCCAACAAUGGCGUUUUAAAGUUUUUUAAACUACUUUUAGUAAGUGCAUGAAGUAUGAGUUUCUUGAUGGCAUUCCCUUGUGGGUGUUUCAGUGCAUUUCGCUCUGUUUAGUGCACUUUGCUCUUGUUUGUCUCCAGAACAAUCCUUUCUACCUCUCCGCUUCUGCCUAGUCCCUUUCCUCCACUCGAAUAGUAUCCCCAUUGCUUUCAUGUCAUGUACACACAUAAACACACACAUAUAGAAAUAUGCAUUGUAACUCAGGGUUCUGCAUAUGAGAGAUCACGUAAUAUUGUUUUCCUUUCUGUUAUCAGUGCUCUCUCUUCAUUUCCCUCCCGUAUCCCCAAAGUCUUCUUUCUACCACUGUGUGCAUCACCUUUUUUUUUUUUUUUAAAAAAUCUACUCAUAUGCUGAUAGGCAUCUAGACUGAUUCUACAUCUUGGCUGUUAUGACUAGGGCUUCCCUAAACAUUUCUGUGUGAGCAUCUUUGUGAUGCUUUAUUAGAUUUCAUUGUAUAUAUGCCCUUGAACAAAAGAGCUGGAUCAUAUGGUAGCUGUAUUUUUAGUUUUUUUGUUUUUUUGUUUUUUGUUUUUUGUUUUUUGGUUUUUUUUGGUGGAACCACUGUACUGAUUCACAUAGUGUUCGAAACAGCUUACAAUAUGCUCUUUUCAAGCUAUAGAAAUGCCCUUGCAACUUCUACUGUCUCGUGAACUUCUAAGGGUUUUAAGAAUUCUAAGAUUAUCUUUUCUCAAAGACAUGUAUACUUGAUAGCUAAGUCUUAGAGAACAAAGGAGCUUAGGGACCUCAUGGACCUGUGGCUGAGUCUCAGAGCUUGGGAACCAGGCAGGGAAGAGCUGUCCUGCUCAGCUUUAGUGAAGGAGUCUUCCCAAGGACUUGAGACUACUCAAUGUCUUAGCAGAACCCCACCCUCUCAAAACAGCUACACAGAAAUCCUCCAAUUUAUUCACACCAAAAAGACAAUGCUUCAAGGCCACUGCUCUAAAUCCACAGAGCCUGAGGAAGUGUGAGGACAGUUUUAUAAAUAUAGCAAUUCAAAUCCCUGGUGUGGCUUGUAUCAGAUGGCCCAGGUGGUGGUUUUCUAGCAAAUAAAAACAUGCUCUUUGGACAUUCAUCCCCUUGGGUCCCCAGGAUAUGUCUUUCUCUCUCUGCUCUUUACAAUCCAAAACAUUCCAGUUGGCAAAACAAUAGACUUUACCCCUGGUAGACCACUGUGAGUUGACUUUAGACAAUGAUUGUUCUAUUUCCAGAAAGUUACUGGGGAUGGAAGAAGGAGGCCUCAGAAAGCCAGUCCCAGUUAGAUACCACCUCAGGGGCUCCUGCUCCACAGACCUUCCAACCCAGACCAUUUCCAGUGUUUGCACUUCCUUAAAGAGCUAGAGGAUGUUUUUUGUUCUGCUCUAGAAUGGUGUAUAUGAAUUUCUGGUCCCGCAGCCCUCAUGUGUGCUGACCUGUAAGCUAGGAGAUACAGUUCAACAAUAGAGCGGUUGCUUUCUUUUCUUCCCACAGUGUUCUGCUGUGUACAGGAAGAAAGGUUGAGUAAGCGCUGCUCUGGGCAUUCGAUUGGCCCUUUGCUGUAGGUUUGUGGAAACAAAUGUUUCCCUGGGGGUUUUCUAUGGUAGCUACAUUUUUCUUCUUCACUAAAUGAGUCAUUAAUAUUUUAAUAUGGAGCUGGGCCUCAUGUCGACAAUUUAUAUGCAGGAAAACACCCUCCUUUUUCCUCAAAGCAAUGAGAUCCCCCACUCCCCACCCCUAAAACCCACUAGGAGGACAACUUAAAAAUAAGUAAACAUUUGGGUGGUCUGUUGAUAUUCACAAAGCACAUUUGAAAUUAACUAAUUUGCCUUCUAUGAGAAACAGAUUUUAACGCUGUUCAAAGAGUUGCUUCUUUGAAAUUAAGUAGCACAAGUUGUCUCUGCAUGUCCUCUAACUUGUUUAGACUGUAGUCCUAAGGGCAGCAUUUGCUAUUGAGGGGAAACAGGUCGCCAAAUCUAGGGACAGAAGGCUACAAGGAUUUCAACCAUCAACAGCAAAGAGGCAAAAGAAGUCUUAGUAUUUAUGAUUUUGUAUUUUAAAAAUUUGUUUCUUUCUUAUCCUCUUCCUCUGGAAAACUCUCUCUGCCCUAGGGGAACCACCCUUGUAAACUGCAUUCUUGAUGCUCUGGGAUUAACUAACUUCAAGUUGGGUUUAAAGAGCUAGACAUUAGCCAGAAAGCCAUAGGGAAGGGAGAGGUUGCAGGCUUUUCUGGUCCCACAAGUCCUGUAAUCCUUUACCAAUACACCCUUCUGUGGAUCUUCAGCCCAAGGGGCCGUCAGGAAUUCUGAGCUUGUUAGUCUCUGGGCAUCUUCCUAAUUCUCCUGUUUCCUAAACCACUCCCACACCUCCCUUAAUGAACAACUUUCAAUAUAAUCACUUAACUGCCAGGAUUCCAAAAAGUGAGUCUGCUGGCUUUUCCCGAGAGAGCCUUAAGAGUAGUAGGAAUGGUGUCUUCAUGAUGACUCAAGAGCAAAUGGAUCGAUUACAAUCCCUGUGUGCUUUUUCCUAAGUUUUCUGAUAUCCUAUACUAAGCCUUGCAAGGUACAAUCUCAGAACUGGAGGCUGGAAAAGUCCACUAAAGUCAUGAACCGUGAGGCAGGAACCACUGACAGAGUACUUAGAGCCAAAGCUUGGGAAUCUCCAAAGGAAAGAAUUCUUAAAUAGAAAUAUUAAACUUUCUUUUUGUAGAUAUUUUUAAUAGUGUAUAUUAGCUAUCCAAAACGGUGGGCUUCUGUACGAUAAUUUCAUAUGGGCCUAUUCACCUUGCUCAUUACUCUACCUUUAUAAAAUAUUUUCUAUGAAUGGCCCUGGGUAAAUGUGGACACUUUCUUUGUUUACUAAUAGCUAUGAACUUGUCAUUAACUACUGCUGUUUCUAGUGGCAGUGACAGCCAAGUAGCAUUUGGCCUUGCAAACAUGUCAGUAUUGAAGUGAUGAUGAGCUUUCCUUUUACAGACAUAUAGCAUGGCAUAAGCUUCACCCCUUUUCGUUACAGAUUCUGCACAUUUUUGGGAUGUUUGAAAUUAGCAAGCAUUGCCACUAUGGGAUUCCAGAUUGCUGUCAUCGCUCCCAAUUGAAAGCCCAUGACUGCUAGAGCCCUCCCCUCUCAUCCCCUGGGAACUACUAACAUCUGGGCCCUAUGGCUUUGCCUACUGUAGAAUUUCAUGAUUGUGCUUCAGGAAAGGAAGAGAGAUUCAACCAGGACACCGUCAGCUUCUGCUGUCUCAAGUCUGCCUAGGGGGCAGCCCUCUAUAACUGAACACUGGUGAACCUGAUCUUACGAGGACUGUGACAGAUCCUUUUCUGGCGGGUAGCUCGUGCUGUGUGAAACGAGCCAUUAUCUGCGGUCACCUCACCGCGCAGCAGCAGCAGAACUUCAUGCUACUGCCGAGAAGUGGCUCAGUACUGCAUCACCAGUCCACAUCCCCUUCAGUCUCUCGCAGCUACCCUUCUGCUCUGCACUGCUAUGAGAUCAACGCUAUCUGGAUUCCAAUCUGAGCAGCUCACAAGGCAAGUACAACCAUCCUCGGCAUAGAGGAGGAAGGUGAGCCUCUCGAAGUGAGACCCCGUGGUUCCCAGGCAUCUUGCAUCCUGAAUACAUGACACCAUUCAGAGAA